GUCGCCCCCAUUGAGACCCCGCUGGCCGGGGUAAAUGGCGCCCAACAUGAGGCUCGACCUUCGCCUCCUUGGGAGCUGAAGGUCUUUCUCCAGGAAAGUCCAGAUGUCUGGUGGAGAUAUUUUUGCUGAUCGUCCAUUGAGACCACUCAACUCGACACCCUUUCUUGAAGAUCCGGAGGAGAGCGAGAAGGACGAGCUUUGGAAUUGUAUAUCCAACCAUCUCUCUUUGAUCAGCAACAAUACUGGGCCCAUCUAAAGAGCAGGAUUUUGUUGAGCAAGAUUGGUGGUUCUCUACCCUCAAAACCCUGCAAUAUAGGUCAUCAAUCUUGGCCACAAGUAAUGAAAACUGAACUCUGACUAGCUUUGGCCAAAAUGGAAAUUCAAGGAUGCAGCACUCGGGAGAGUGGUCCCUGCAAUUCACCUGGGAAGCACAGCAGAGCUGGUCCUGGUGGAGUGGGUGUGGAUGAGCAGUCCCUGAGGACAUGAAAGCUGGAGAACUGGACCCUUUCUUUGCUGCCUACUGCAUUAGGUGAGCUCAUUGGGGCAGUGCUAGAGAGCUCUCUCUGGUGUUGAGGAUGCUGGAGGACUGGCAGGCUGACCAACUCAGCUACCACCUAGGUCCAGAUGCAGGGCUAUGAGUUGGCUCACCUUAACAUCAACCCCAUCUAUGAAUUGCUGGAGCAAGUGAAAGGGCUGGUAGAGAAGAUCCAAAGCUACAGAAUCUCUAUGACACAGGGCAACAAUAGGAUAUUCAAGAGGGGUCUCAGUGAGGAUCCAAUAUUUAUAGUGUAGUAGAAGACAGAGGCCUUGAAUGAGACCGGUGACUCAUUGCAACGAACACUUGCAAGUAAAGAUAUAUGUACUAACGGGUAUACUGUGUUACUCACUGUGACACACUACAGCCUUGAUGAUAAGAUUUUUUAAAAAAUUUUAUUUUAUUUUGAGGGCUUGCAAGGACAGAGAGCAGUUACGAAGAAACAGUGAGAUGAGUGGGAUUGGGGUACAUGAUGUGAAAUCCACAAAUUAAAUCAAUAAAAAAUAAAAAAAGGAGGAAAGGAAAACAUGAAAAAAGACUGUUUCAUAAUAAAAGUUGAUUUAAAUUUAUUAAUAUGCCCACCUAUGAAAAACAACUCAAAUCAUAUAUUUGAUAUUAAAUAGAUUACUACAUUUUAAACAUUUUAUAUUAACAUCUAAGUGGAUAUGCUAAUACAAAAAAUACAGAACCACUCAAACUACACACCUAAGUAACUAAACUCCUUUUGUGGACCCCAUAAAAGAAGCUUCAGGCUAUACCUGAGGCCCUCGAGUACACUGUCACCCAUGUAGCCUGCUGUCACUCUUCAGAGCGCAUUUCUCUCUGAUCUGUGCUUUUACUUCAUUCUAAAUGAGUUCCUAUUACUUUUUAAACAUGUGUAUGUCUUUCUUUCAGUUCCUUGAAGAAGAGUCCAUGAACCUAGAAAAUCUUGACUAGACCCUGAUCACCAGUAACACUAUUCUGGAGUCGUCAUAACUAUCUUGUUCUAAUCCCUACUUGCCUCCCUCUGACCUAUGCUCAUCAUCCAGAGUGAACUUCUGUACAAGUAAUAUGAGGACUUUACUACUAAGCCCUUCAAUGCUUCCCUGUGGUUUUGAACAUGAGCUCUAGCCACUGUGCCAGUGUCUUGAGAACCUUAUUGCAACAACAUCUGCCCACCUGUCUUCCUGUCCCUCAUGCCUCUUCUCCAUGUCUAUGCACAGCCAGCAAUAAGACUGAUAUUUUCCCCUGGCUUCUUCCUAGAUGUUCUCUUUGUCUUCAGGCUUCUACCAUGUAGAACGUGUCAAGUCUCUAAAGAUUUUGCUGCUCAUUCCUUUUGAGGGACCUUAGCACAUGCUGUUUAGCCAAUUAAUGCAUUUAGCUUGAUUAAUUAUUAUUUUCCCCAAUUGAGAUCUUGUUGGUCCUUCAGUACUUAAAGAUUUCUUCUCUUAGUACACCCCAUUUUUCUCUUUAUAGAACUAGUCACAUUUUGUAAAUUAAAAUCUAUAUUUUAUGCCUUUCACCGCACUCUAAGCUCCAAGAAGGUAAGAACUUGAUUUUAUUCCACAUUCUAAACUUAGUGUCUGUCACUGUGAAUGGUAGGUCCCUUUUCCCACUGAAAUUUUUUCUGUAUAUAUUUUCUUUCUUCCUUUUUCUGCUUUGAUUGACACAUCAUAAUUGUAUGUAUUUAUGCAGUACAAUAUGAUGCUGUGAUUCAUCAAAUCAUGUUAAUUAACAUAUCUAUCUCUUUAACAUUUAUCAUUUUGUGUGGCAAUGUCUUAGGCUUUCUAUUGCUAUGAAGAGACACCAUGACCAUGACAACUCUUAUAAAAGAAAGCAUUUAAU